rnacentral:rRNA from 1 species
AAAAGAUUUAUCGCUGAAAAGAUGGCCUCGCGUCUGAUUAGCUGGUUGGUGAGGUAACGGCCCACCAAGGCGACGAUCAGUAGCCGGACUGAGAGGUUGACCGGCCACAUUGGAACUGAGACACGGUCCAAACUCCUACGGGAGGCAGCAGUGAGGAAUCUUGGUCAAUGGGCGCAAGGCCUGAACCAGCCACGUAGCGUGAAGGAAGACUGCCCUUAGGGUUGUAAACUUCUUUUAUAAGGGAAUAACGUCAGUAACGAGUUACUGAUUGCAUGUACCUUAUGAAUAAGGACCGGCUAAUUCCGUGCCAGCAGCCGCGGUAAUACGGAAGGUCCGGGCGUUAUCCGGAUUUAUUGGGUUUAAAGGGAGCGUAGGCCGGAGAUUAAGCGUGUUGUGAAAUGUAGACGCUCAACGUCUGCACUGCAGCGCGAACUGGUUUCCUUGAGUACGCACAAAGUGGGCGGAAUUCGUGGUGUAGCGGUGAAAUGCUUAGAUAUCACGAAGAACUCCGAUUGCGAAGGCAGCUCGCUGGAGCGCAACUGACGCUGAAGCUCGAAAGUGCGGGUAUCGAACAGGAUUAGAUACCCUGGUAGUCCGCACGGUAAACGAUGGAUAACCGCUGUUGUCUGAAUAGGUCAGCGGCCAAGCGAAAGCAU